rnacentral:rRNA from 1 species
AUUGAACGCUGGCGGCAGGCCUAACACAUGCAAGUCGAACGAGUGGCGGACGGGUGAGUAAUGUCUGGGAAACUGCCUGCUGGAGGGGGAUAACUACUGGAAACGGUAGCUAAUACCGCAUACCAUCAGAGGUGACACGAUUGGAUUAGCUUGUUGGUGGGGUAACGGCUCACCAAGGCGACGAUCCCUAGCUGGUCUGAGAGGAUGACCGGCCACACUGGAACUGAGACACGGUCCAGACGCCUACGGUAGGCAGCAGUGGGGAAUAUUGCACAAUGGGCGCAAGCCUGAUGCAGCCAUGCCGCGUGUAUGAAGAAGGCCUUCGGGUUGUAAAGUACUUUCAGCGGGGAGGCGUUACCCGCAGAAGAAGCACCGGCUAACUCCGUGCCAGCAGCCGCGGUAAUUC